AAAAGCGGAUAAAGGAGAGGAGCGGGCACGACGGCUGCAGGAGACCCGUAUAAAUACGAUCUGGUUUCCGUUCCCAAUCCCCUUCUUCCCCGACUCGCCCGGCGCUGAAUAAGAUUCCCCUGUAUUCUGUUCCAGAGAUGAGCUGAUCGAGCAGCCCGUCGCCAAGCCAACCGGACAUGGUGAGCGACGGCGCGCGCGGGCUGCUGGGCGCGUACGAGCUCGGGCGGACGCUCGGGGAGGGCAACUUCGGGAAGGUGAAGCAGGCGCGGCACCGCGGCAGCGGCGGGCAGUUUGCCGUGAAGAUCAUGGAGCGCGCCAGGGUGCUGUCGCAGCGCGCGGACGAGCAGAUAUGCCGCGAGAUCGCCACGCUCAAGCUGCUCGCGCACCCCAACGUCGUCCGCCUCCACGAGGUGGCUGCCAGCAAGACGAAGAUCUACAUGGUGCUUGAGCUCGUCAACGGCGGCGAGCUGCUGGACAGGAUUCAGGCGGCCAGUGAGGGAAAGCUCCCGGAGCAGGAGGCAAGGAGGCUCUUCCAGCAGCUGGUUGAUGGUGUAAGCUACUGCCAUGAAAAGGGCGUCUGUCACAGAGACCUCAAGCUGGAGAACGUUCUUGUCGACCGGAAGGGAAACAUCAAGAUCUCUGAUUUCGGGCUCAGCGCUUUACCGCAACAUCUCGGGAACGAUGGGUUGCUGCACACGACCUGCGGUAGCCCCAACUACAUUGCCCCUGAGGUUCUGCAGAACAGAGGGUACGACGGGUCGCUAUCGGACAUCUGGUCAUGCGGGGUGAUUCUCUACGUGAUGCUCGUAGGGCACCUCCCGUUCGACGACCGGAACAUCGUCGUUCUCUACCAGAAGAUUUUCAAGGGCGAUGCUCAGAUCCCGGAGUGGCUCUCUCCCGGCGCACGGAACCUUCUCCGGAGGAUCCUUGAGCCCGACCCGGCGGAGCGGAUCGCCAUGGCAGAGAUCAAGGCGCACCCAUGGUUCCAGGAGCACUACGUCCCUGUCCUUCCUCCGUACGACGACGACGACGACCACGAUUCAGUGAAGCAAAUCGGUGCGGGUAGUAAAACCACUCAUCACAUCAACGCGUUUCAGUUGAUCGGAAUGGCGUCGUCCCUAGACCUCUCAGGGUUUUUUGAGGAAGAGGACGUGUCCCAAAGGAAGAUCAGGUUCACGUCCGCACAACCGCCUGAGGAUUUGUUCGCCGAGAUCGAACGCUCUGCGACUGACAUGGGCUUCCAUGUUCACAGAGGGCAUAGUAAGCUUAGGCUGACGCGAAACUGCGACCGGUCGAAGAAUCAGAAGAACCCUAUGUCGUCGUCGUCGUCGUCGUUUCUAGUCUGCACCGAGGUAAAACGCAGCAAUUAAACUGCAUGCACCCCCAGGUUUUUGAGCUAACGAUGGAGUGCUGUGCCAUCUGUGAUCCCAGGUUUUUGAGCUUAGCCCCUCUUUGUAUGUCGUGGAGCUCAACAAGUCCCAUGGCGACCCUGCACUGUACAGGCAGCUCUGUCAGAGGAUCUGCGGUGACCUAGGUGUGCUCGAGAUGGACCAGAUCUUUGGGACGAGGCCGCCGGUCGCCGACGAUCUCGCGGGCUUGGCCUUGGCGUUGGAGAGACGAUCUGCGACGCCUUUGGUUGCGUUGUGACGAAAGGCUGCCCCCGCCGGCCCCCCUGACCGUGAUGUUUGUAGCGUCAGAUUAUUUAGUGACGACGAAGCAGUUCAGCUGCAACGCAGCUCGGAACGGUUGUGUGAUCCCUCCCAGAAAUAGAGGACAAGGUAAAAGAGUGUAGCCGUACACGUGUAGGAUCAUGCUCCAAUGUAAAUAAAGUGGUAGUAGCCACCGAUGUAAAACUGAAUGUAAAAUCUAAGAAAUAAAUCGUUUAUCCAGUACACAGAAGCUC